rnacentral:rRNA from 1 species
UCCGUAUAACAAUACUCCGAGAACUGAAAGGCUUUUUGAAGUCUUCGGAUGGAUAGAAGAACCCCUGAUGCCGUCGAGCCAAGAAAAGUUUCUAAGUUUAGCUAAUGUUGCCCGUACCGUAAACCGACACAGGUGGGUGGGAUGAGUAUUCUAAGGCGCGUGGAAGAACUCUCUUUAAGGAACUCUGCAAAAUAGCACCGUAUCUUCGGUAUAAGGUGUGGUUAGCUUUGUAUUAGGAUUUACUCCGAAAGCAAGGAAACUUACAACAAAGAGUCCCUCCCGACUGUUUACCAAAAACACAGCACUCUGCUAACUCGUAAGAGGAUGUAUAGGGUGUGACGCCUGCCCGGUGCUCGAAGGUUAAUUGAUGGGGUUAGCAUUAGCGAAGCUCUUGAUCGAAGCCCGAGUAAACGGCGGCCGUAACUAUAACGGUCCUAAGGUAGCGAAAUUCCUUGUCGGUUAAAUACCGACCUGCAUGAAUGGCGUAACGAGAUGGGAGCUGUCUCAAAGAGGGAUCCAGUGAAAUUGUAGUGGAGGUGAAAAUUCCUCCUACCCGCGGCAAGACGGAAAGACCCCGUGGACCUUUACUACAGCUUGACACUGCUACUUGGAUAAGAAUGUGCAGGAUAGGUGGGAGGCUUUGAGUAUAUGACGCCAGUUGUAUAUGAGCCAUUGUUGAGAUACCACUCUUUCUUAUUUGGGUAGCUAACCAGCUUGAGUUAUCCUCAAGUGGGACAAUGUCUGGUGGGUAGUUUGACUGGGGCGGUCGCCUCCCAAAUAAUAACGGAGGCUUACAAAGGUUGGCUCAGAACGGUUGGAAAUCGUUCGUAGAGUAUAAAGGUAUAAGCCAGCUUAACUGCAAGACAUACAAGUCAAGCAGAGACGAAAGUCGGUCUUAGUGAUCCGGUGGUUCUGUGUGGAAGGGCCAUCGCUCAAAGGAUAAAAGGUACCCCGGGGAUAACAGGCUGAUCUCCCCCAAGAGCUCACAUCGACGGGGAGGUUUGGCACCUCGAUGUCGGCUCAUCGCAUCCUGGGGCUGGAGCAGGUCCCAAGGGUAUGGCUGUUCGCCAUUUAAAGCGGUACGCGAGCUGGGUUCAGAACGUCGUGAGACAGUUCGGUCCCUAUCUGCCGUGGGCGUAAGAAGAUUGAAGAGAUUUGACCCUAGUACGAGAGGACCGGGUUGAACAAACCACUGGUGUAGCUGUUGUUCUGCCAAGAGCAUCGCAGCGUAGCUAAGUUUGGAAAGGAUAAACGCUGAAAGCAUCUAAGCGUGAAGCCAACUCUAAGAUGAAUCUUCUCUAAGCUCUCUAGAAGACUACUAGUUUGAUAGGCUGGGUGUGUAAUGGAUGAAAGUCCUUUAGCUGACCAGUACUAAUAGAGCGUUUGGCUUAUCUUUAAUAAAGCAU